rnacentral:rRNA from 1 species
AUUGAACGCUGGCGGCAGGCCUAACACAUGCAAGUCGAACGAGUGGCGGACGGGUGAGUAAUGUCUGGGAAACUGCCUGAUGGAGGGGGAUAACUACUGGAAACGGUAGCUAAUACCGCAUACCAUCAGAUGUGCCCAGAUCGGAGUAGCUUGUUGGUUGGGUAACGGCUCACCAAGGCGACGAUCCCUAGCUGGUCUGAGAGGAUGACCAGCCACACUGGAACUGAGACACGGUCCAGACUCCUACGGGAGGCAGCAGUGGGGAAGAUUGCACAAGGGGCGCAAGCCUGAUGCAGACAUGCCGCGGGUAUGAAGAAGGCCUUCGGGGUGUAAAGUACUUUCAGCGGGGAGGCGGUAACAGAAGAAGAAGCACCGGCUAACUCCGUGCCAGCAGCCGCGGUAAGAG